AGUCCCGUAGUGUAGUGGCCAAUCACUGAGCCUUCUGGGGGCUCAAACGGAGGUUCGAAUCCUCCCGGGACUA
rnacentral:tRNA from 1 species